GUUUGACCUCGGAUCAGGUAGGAAUACCCGCUGAACUUAAGCAUAUCAAUAAGCGGAG
rnacentral:rRNA from 1 species